rnacentral:rRNA from 1 species
UACGGAGGAUGCGAGCGUUAUCCGGAUUUAUUGGGUUUAAAGGGUGCGUAGGCGGUUUUAUAAGUUAGAGGUGAAAUCUCGGGGCUCAACUCCGAAAUUGCCUCUAAUACUGUAGGACUAGAGAGUAGUUGCGGUAGGCGGAAUGUAUGGUGUAGCGGUGAAAUGCGUAGAUAUUAGGAGGAACACCAGUGGCGAAGGCGGCUUACUGGACGAUGACUGACGCUGAGGCUCGAAAGCGUGGGGAGCAAACAGG